ensembl:lncRNA
AUGGCCUGUUUCCUCUCACUGUUCUUUUCCCAAACACACAAGAUCUCACAAUCCCAGCAAGAGGAAAUGACUUAGGGACGAAGGCUUCAGAGGAGGAAAAAAAAAUAGAGGCUUCCAAUAAAAAUCAUUUCUAGAAGGAAUGAAGCUGUUAUUGGCAAGUCAACCAGUGAGAGAGACGACUUUGGAAAGAAAGAAGUUCUAUCUUCUAUCCACAUGUCUGUUAGAGAAUGUUUGCAGGUAUUUCCUGGGGGCUUCCCUGGUGGCUCAGAUGGUAAAGAGUCUGCCUGCAGUACAGGAGACCAGGGUUCGAUCCCUGGAUUUGGAAGAUCUGAUGGAGAAGGGAAUGGCUACCAACUCCAGUAUUCUUGCCUAGAGAAUUCCACAGACAGAGGAUCCUGGAGAGCCACAGUACACGGGAUUGCAAAGAGCUGGACAAGACUGACUAACACUAUUACCCUCCUACAGGGAUUUGUGAUUCCCCAAGAACUCUUCUCGGCAUAUCCUCAACUCUGAUGCUUUCUUCUCUACCGGGGAAGACGAGCAGAGAAAGUCCAUGCAUUUGUCAGUCUUGGCCCCUGGUGAUAACUGUGCCAUGGAGGCAGCAGGCAUUUGGAACUGCCAUGUCAUCAAGAGUUCCAAAAAAACAGCAGGAAAGGAAACAGGAUUGCUGAUGAAGUACAAGAUCAUCAGAAUUAAAGUUCUCAAGGAAUUAAAUCUCUCACUCCUGGCAAAACACCAUGCCAUGUAUUUAACUCAGCAUCCUGUGCCAAGGAGGUGAAAAAAGCCAGAAAAUAUCCUGUCCACAGUUUCUCCAUCCUCCUUCACACUCAGCCCACACAGAUGGAACUAAGAAACAUGGCGCUGGAAGCUGGGAGCCUGUGCUGCCUAAUAAGCAUGCGCUUGACUGUGGCUUCACCCAAGUGGACUGACCCACAGCAAAAGCACGGGGACUAUCCACCUGAUGAAUUCAUGGUCAGAAUCAUGAAAAUUAUAGCUAGCAUGGAUGGAAUAAAAGCCAUAUUCUGCCAGAGACUGUAUAAGCACAUUACUUCCAUAUACCAUUGGAUCCUCCAAAUAACCCCAUGAAGCUGCAU